GAUGAACGCUCGCUACAGGCUUAACACAUGCAAGUCGAGGGGCAGCAUGAACUUAGCUUGCUAAGUUUGAUGGCGACCGGCGCACGGGUGAGUAACACGUAUCCAACCUGCCGAUGACUCGGGGAUAGCCUUUCGAAAGAAAGAUUAAUACCCGAUGGCAUAGUUCUUCCGCAUGGUAGAACUAUUAACGAAUUUCGGUCAUCGAUGGGGAUGCGUUCCAUUAGGUUGUUGGCGGGGUAACGGCCCACCAAGCCUUCGAUGGAUAGGGGUUCUGAGAGGAAGGUACCCCACAUGGGAACUGGGACACGGUCCAAACGACUACGGGACGCAGCAGUGAGGAAUAGUGGUCAAUGGACGAGAGUCUGAACCAGCCAAGUAGCGUGAAGGAGGGCUGCGCUAUGGGUUGUAAACUUCUUUUAGACGGGAAUAAAGUGAGGCACGGGUGCCUUUUUGUAUGUACCGGAUGAAUAAGAAUCGGCUAACUCCGUG
rnacentral:rRNA from 1 species